rnacentral:rRNA from 1 species
GACGAACGCUGGCGGCGUGCCUAAUACAUGCAAGUAGAACGCACAGUUUAUACCGUAGCUUGCUACACCAUAGACUGUGAGUUGCGAACGGGUGAGUAACGCGUAGGUAACCUGCCUGGUAGCGGGGGAUAACUAUUGGAAACGAUAGCUAAUACCGCAUAAUAUUAAUUAUUGCAUGAUAAUUAAUUGAAAGGUGCAAUUGCACCACUACCAGAUGGACCUGCGUUGUAUUAGCUAGUAGGUGAGGUAACGGCUCACCUAGGCGACGAUACAUAGCCUACCUGAGAGGGUGAUCGGCCACACUGGGACUGAGACACGGCCCAGACUCCUACGGGAGGCAGCAGUAGGGAAUCUUCGGCAAUGGACGAAAGUCUGACCGAGCAACGCCGCGUGAGUGAAGAAGGUUUUCGGAUCGUAAAGCUCUGUUGUAAGAGAAGAACGGGUGUGAGAGUGGAAAGUUCACACUGUGACGGUAUCUUACCAGAAAGGGACGGCUAACUACGUG